GAUGAAGAACGCAGCGAAAUGCGAUAAUUAAUGUGAAUUGCAGAAUUUAGUGAAUCAUCGAAUCUUUGAACGCACAUUGCGCCCCUUGGUAUUCUGGCGGGCAUGCCUGUUCGAGCGUCAUUACAACCCUCAGGCCCCCGGGCCUGGCGUUGGGGAUCGGCGGAGCCCCCCGUGGGCACACGCCGUCCCCCAAAUACAGUGGCGGUCCCGCCGCAGCUUCCAUCGCGUAGUAGCUAACACCUCGCGACUGGAGAGCGGCGCGGCCACGCCGUAAAACACCCAACUCUUCUGAAGUUGACCUCGAAUCAGGUAGGAAUACCCGCUGAACUUAAGCAUAUCAAUAAGCGGAGGA
rnacentral:misc_RNA from 1 species